GACGAACGCUGGCGGCGUGCCUAAUACAUGCAAGUAGAACGCGGAAGGAGGAGCUUGCUUCUCUGGAUGAGUUGCGAACGGGUGAGUAACACGUAGGUAACCUGCCUGGUAGUGUGGGAUAACUAUUGGAAACGAUAGCUAAUACCGCAUAAGAGUAGAUGUUGCAUGACAUUUGCUUAAAAGGUGCAAUUGCAUCACUACAAGAUGGACCUGCGGUGUAUUAGCUAGUUGGUGGGGUAAGGGCUUACCAAGGCGACGAUACAUAGCCGACCUGAGAGGGGGAUCGGCCACACUGGGACUGAGACACGGCCCAGACUCCUACGGGAGGCAGCAGUAGGGAAUCUUCGGCAAUGGACGGAAGUCUGACCGAGCAACGCCGCGUGAGUGAAGAAGGUUUUCGGAUCGGAAAGCUCUGUUGUAAGAGAAGAACGAGUGUGAGAGUGGAAAGUUCACACUGUGACGGUAUCUUACCAGAAAGGGACGGCUAACUACGUG
rnacentral:rRNA from 1 species